ACGAGUUGGGAUGGUAGCGAUAGUGUUGAUCGUACGAAUGGUAAUGAUAGUAAAGAUGAUGAUGAUGGCAGCGACAAUGAAUCCUGGUCGUCGUACGAUAAUUUACCUGAAGAGGAUUUUGAAAAGAAGGAGGAGGGUGCUUGUAGUGAAAACGAGGAUAUUGACGUUCAGAACGAGGAAAAUCAUGGUGUUGAAUCUUUCGGGGAUAACAUAAGCCAGGCUAACUUUGAUUAUUGGAGUGGUGAAGAUGGA